rnacentral:rRNA from 1 species
ACGGAAGGCAGCAGUGGGGAAUAUUGCACAAUGGGGGAAACCCUGAUGCAGCGACGCCGCGUGAGCGAAGAAGUAUUUCGGUAUGUAAAGCUCUAUCAGCAGGAAAGAAAAUGACGGUACCUGACUAAGAAGCCCCGGCUAACUACGUGCCAGCAGCCGCGGUAAUACGUAGGGGGCAAGCGUUAUCCGGAUUUACUGGGUGUAAAGGGAGCGUAGACGGCUUUGCAAGUCUGAAGUGAAAGCCCGGGGCUCAACCCCGGAACUGCUUUGGAAACUGUAGAGCUAGAGUGCAGGAGAGGUAAGUGGAAUUCCUAGUGUAGCGGUGAAAUGCGUAGAUAUUAGGAGGAACACCAGUGGCGAAGGCGGCUUACUGGACUGUAACUGACGUUGAGGCUCGAAGGCGUGGGGAGCAAACAGGAUUAGAUACCCUGGUA